UUUUUUGACUGUGGAGUUUUUAAACAUUGCAAUGGAGAUUUCACCCAGGUAAAGCUACAAGGCCUUUACUAUUUUCUUAUGUGUUGUACGUUUGUGUACACUCUUGUGUUUUGUGUUGUAUGUCUGUAUGUGCGUAUGUCCAUAUUUCUUAUAUGAGGAGCGCUCAUGAAAAAAUGGAUCCGAAUUAUUAUUAUUUUUUUAUUCACGUGAUUUAAAUGGUUUAAUUUAAAUUAGGUAAACAGCUGUUAAGGAUUGUUUUUAAAGUAGGUUAACAGAUCUGUUUGUUUACUUUCACCUUUCCUUUUCAUUAUAUUUAAUAAUUCUUUUCAGGAUAAUGUCUUUUUAGCAUCAUUGCCAGAAUUCCUAUCUUCAUCCCAGUGCCGGUGAAGACAAAGAUACAACCAGACUACAGCUUCUAUGAUAGCUAUCACAGUAAACUGUAUAAACUGAUGCAUCAAUGAAUAUAACUCAACAAGUAAUGCUCAAUCAAGGAGUUAACUUACUUUGGGAGGAAACGGAUUUUGGGAGGAAAUGGACAUAUUGAUAGAUUCCUCUGCUUUGAACUGCUUGCAGAACUUGCCUGGACUAUGUAACUAUCGUUUGGUGCAGCGAAUUGUGGUAAUGCUGGCAUAUCUUUGCUGAUGGUGUCACCAGUGAUGCAAUUUUUAUUUCCUUGCCAGCGCACCCCAUGUUAAUUGUGGUAGUGCUGGCAUAUCUUUGCUGAUGGUGUCACCAGUGAUGCAAUUUUUCCCAAGGAGCCGUCAAUUGGCUUGGUGUUGUGGCAUUUCUGUAUCCUCCUCCCUUCUGCUAGUGAUGGUCUAAAAUUUGGGGGCCAAUGGCUAUAUGCUGGACCGGUAGUCAGUGACGGGUAUGAUCCAAUUGCAGUGGUAUCAACCUAAGACAGGAGGCUGACACCUAAAGGUCAGUUUUCCGAUGACGGGUAAGAACCAUAUGUUGAAUUGGACAACCUACCAGGCACGGUCCUUAAGCCACAUUAACCUCACUCCCCCACUGGCACCAAGGCCAAAUUUGGGGGCCAACAGAGGUGAGGCAAAGAACCUCACCCCCCCACUGGUGCAUAGACCUAUCCACAAGUAUGGCUGUAUGCUGGACCGGUAGUCAGUGACGGGUAUGAUUCAAUUGCAGUGGUAUCAACCUAAGACAGGAGGCUGACGCCUAAAGGUCAGUUUUCUGAUGACGGGUAAGAACCAUAUGUUGAAUUGGACAACCUACCAGGCACGGUCCUUAAGCCACAUUGCUUGUUGUUUAAUUAAUCAGAAGGGGGGAGAUGCUGGGAGCCAUUAGCCAAGUGGGUAUGACAAUUUCCUUGCCAGCGUACCCCAUGUUGCAGUGACAUUGAAUGUAGGUGACCUUGCUCAAGGACCAAGGCGGAUUAGGGUAUUCCCGGUUUAAGAUAAUCGGGUUUAGGGCGUUCCCGGUUUAGGUUCCAGGUUUAAGGUUUAAGAUUAUUCCUGCUGGGAAUAGGGCGUAUCCUGCUGCCUGAGUUCCCCUUGAGUUCUCAUGGGAUUCAGACAGUAUUUUUUGGGAGACAGAAGCCCAGUGGACGUGGAUUUGGGCAGAGAACGUGGAUUUCCCCAGAACGUGAUUGUAGAUGGCUGGUGUGAGUUCGGGAAUAAAGAGUUGCUGUUUGAAUCUACAA